GACGAACGCUGGCGGCGUGCUUAACACAUGCAAGUCGAACGGAAAGGCCUGCUUUCCCUUGUGGAUUGCGGGUACUCGAGUGGCGAACGGGUGAGUAACACGUGAGUGAUCUGCCCCCAACUUGGGUAUAAGCCUGGGAAACUGGGUCUAAUUCCCGAUAGGACUGCAGGGUGGUGCCUGUGGUGGAAAACGAUUUUCUAGUGGUUGGGGAUGAGCUCGCGGCCUAUCAGCUUGUUGGUGGGGUAAUGGCCUACCAAGGCGGCGACGGGUAGCCGGCCUGAGAGGGUGGACGGCCACAUUGGGACUGAGAUACGGCCCAGACUCCUACGGGAGGCAGCAGUGGGGAAUAUUGCACAAUGGUCGGAAGCCUGAUGCAGCGACGCCGCGUGGGGGAUGACGGCCUUCGGGUUGUAAACUCCUUUCGACCGCGAGGAAGCCACCUGGUUGGAAGGGUGGUGACGGUAGUGGUAGAAGAAGCACCGGCUAACUACGUG
rnacentral:rRNA from 1 species